GUCUGGCUGGCUCAGUCGGUAGAGCACAGGACUCUUGAUCUUGGGGUUGUAAGUUCGAGCCCCACACUGGGUA
rnacentral:tRNA from 1 species